CAGCGCAGUUUGAAACAAACUUUGAGAGGAAAGUCACUGAAAAAUAAAGAAGAUUUUUCAAAAGUUAGAUAUUUUUUAAAACUAGCAGGUUGUUAAACUUUUUAAAUAAAACAAUUUUAGGUGUUAAGCCAGUUCUGUCGUGCAAUUUCUUCGUGUGAAUGUCAACAAUGGCGGAAUCGAUAUCUUCAAGUUCUUCGGAAGGCAAUGAAUUGAAUGAAAUGAGCGAACGAGCACAAACAGUUCGUGUAACGUUUGAUGAUGUGUUAACAGCUCAGUCAAGAAUCCGAGAUAGCGUGCCUCAAACUCCUUGCGAGUUUUCAAAAAUGUCUAAUGCACUGGGCAUGAAAGUGUAUUUCAAAAAAGAUUACCUUUUACCCACUGGAAGUUUUAAGGAAAGAGGAGCAAGAAAUGCACUAGAAAUGCUAUCUGAUGAUCAAAAGAGAAGAGGGGUGAUAGCUGCCUCAGAUGGAAACCACGCCUUUGCUCUAUCAUACCACGGGCAACAACUAGGCAUUCCAGUCACGGUUGUCAUGCCAAAGAAUACACCAAUUAACAAAAUAGCAUCGUGUGAAAAAUACGGCGCCACUGUACACGAGCUAGGGACGGAUCUCAUUGAGUCAGAAAACAUCGCCCUGAAAAUAGCUGCGACAAAUGAAUUGCAAUACAUCAACAGAUGCGACGAUCCCAGCAUUAUUGCAGGAGCCGGAACAAUGGGUCUGGAGAUUAUGCAACAAAUAAAGGAUGCUGAUGCUGUCAUUAUUCCUGUUGGUGGUGGCGGGUUGAUUGCAGGUGUUGCCGUUGCAGUGAAGGAGUUAAGACCAGAAACCCUUGUCAUCGGCAUUGAAUCAGAGCAAUGUCCAAGUUUUACUGCAGCAAAAAAUAAGGGUGAACUAGUAAAGAUAGAUGCAAAUAAGGAUAUAACAUUGGCUGAUGGUUUAUGCGUUUCAAAAGUUGGCAUAAAUGCCUUUCAUACAGCAGAACCUCUUAUUGAUAGAAUGAUCACAGUACAUGAAGAUUACAUCGCACUAGCUGUACUACGAUUGCUCGAGGAAGAGAAAGUUACAAUUGAAGGUGCUGGUGCAGUUGGUCUUGCUGUCUGCCUUACAGAACAAGUGCCCGAACUAAAAGAGAAAAAGGUUGUCAUUGCUCUUUGUGGUAGAAACAUUGAUUCAAUUGUGUUGGGAAGGUGUUUGGAUCGUGGCCUGGCAGCUGAUGGUCGUUUGGUGCGUUUCGUGGUCACAGUAAGUGACAGACCUGGAGCUAUAGCUGGUGUUACUCAACUGGUGGCCAAUGUUGGAGCAGACGUUAAAGAUAUUUUCUACGAAAGAGCUUGGUUGUUUUCAAGUGUAUUCAGCGUCCAGGUCAAGAUUGUUGCCAGGGUGCGAGACCGUAAUCAUGGAAAAAAACUCAAGGAAGCUUUGAUUUUAGACUACAGCGACGAAGCAGUGAUUUGGCCUUCUUUCGAUAACGGUUCUGGUAAAAGGGGAUCAGAUCAGAAGGAUAAUGAUGUUGACAUCGCUGCCAAGCCUUCUGGAAAAAGGCCAAAAUUGCAGUCGCAAGAGUGGAAAUUCAUAGGUGAAUCAGCAAAACAUAAAGAAAUGCUUUCAAAAAUGACCGAAUUUUGGUCGAAUACCGGAGAAUUUUGUAAGGUUGUGGGAGAUGUACGUGUGAUAUUCUUAAACGAGUUUUGCAUUGGCAGAGGAAGCGAUGGAAGCCGUGUUUUUCUGGGACUGAGCAAGAAUGGUUACGGCAAGGCAGUGAAACGAAUAUUUCGAGAUAAGUGCAUUGAUUUUGCUCAUAAAGAAAAGGCAAUUUUAAAUAAAUUCAACGCAAAGCAGUCGAAAUAUGUUGUCAAUUAUUACUACUUAGAAGAGGAUACUGGAACUGAAUAUGUGUAUCUUAUAUUAGACUUAUGUGAAGACUCACUAAAGAAUUUUGUCACAUCGUCUACUUUGCAAGAUCGUAAAAAAGCUCUGCCAGAAGUUCUUAAAAACAUUUUGAAAGGAUUAGCUGAUCUUCACAGUGGACAAGAAGCAAUUCUUCAUCGAGAUUUGAAGCCAUCCAAUGUUCUUCUAGACUCACAAGGCAAUUUUCUUAUUGCAGACUUUGGUAUUAGUGAAAUUUUGGAGAAUGAAACAAACACAUAUGAAAGCAAGGCUAACAAGGGAACUGAGUAUUGGAUAGCUCCUGAAUCAUAUUGUGAGGUUGAAGAUUCAAUUGAUAAAGGACGGUACAAAAAAGAAUCUGACGUAUAUAAUGCUGGACUGGUGGCUUAUUAUGUUGCAACAAAAGGAAAAAAUCCUUUUGGAACUAAACGGCAUAGAUUGGAUAACAUGUUGAAUGGAGACCCUGUUAGCUUGAAAGAACUUAGUGAUGAAAGCUUAAAAGACCUUCUGUCGUGGAUGUUAAAUCUGCAACCCGAAGACAGACCAUCUGCUAACAUGGCGUUAAAACACCCAUUUCUGAUGUCAGAUGACGAGAAAUUUGACUUGUUAUGUAUUGUUGGUAACGAAUUGCCUACUACGACGAAUGAUACCCAGUCAAGUGUCGCUAAACAAUUGGAUAGCGAAAAUUCAGAAUGGAAAAGUAAAAUAGAUCGUGAAGUAUAUGACUUUUUAAGAACGGAUGAGGUGCGUGGAGAAAUACAUAGGUAUAGAUCUUCAUGGACAGAAUGCUUAAGACUUAUUCGAAAUACUGAUCAAAAAUGGGGUCGAAUAUCAAAGCGAAGUUCUCUACCAGAACUGUUUUAUAAGUAUGGAAAUCACAAGAAAUACUUUCUCGAAACAUUCCCAAAUCUCCCUGUUCGUGUCCAUGUUGCUAUCAGGUCAAACGACGAAUUGAAAAACUGUCCAAAAAUAAAAAAGAUUUUAAUAUACAGUUGUUAGACUGCAAAAACAUUUGUUUUAAAAGGCAAAUGGCAAGUACAAAAUCGAAAAUACAGUUUUUAAAGAUCUUCUUUUGCAUGAAUGCAAAGCAAUUUUUUCUGAUAAUGCAUAAAAACGUUCUUGGUGAAUUUAUUGUAUUCAACGUAAUUAUUGAUACUUUAUUAAUUUUUAAUUCUUAAAUAGACUUUAGGGUAAGAUUAAAGAUAUUUACUUUUGAAUUUUGCAUGUUUAAGAUAUAGAGAUGUAAUAUGUAAUAUACCUUCACCCAAUAUAAAAACUGUCAUAGCAACGAAGAUAAUAAUCACAACUUAUUACAUCAUUUUGUAGCACAUUAAUUACGGUUUUGUAACAACUAAACUCAUUCAAUUAAAUAAAACUGAUACGUUGCCUUUUGCUGUAAUUUUGAAGCUGCUCUCUCGGAUGGAAACUAAUCUACGAUAAGCUCGUUUCAACUUAUUAACAUAUGUACAUCUUUUUUAUUUAGACUGUUUUUAAUUGCGCUUGUCACUUUCUUAAUAGAAAUAAUUCUGUGCUAAAUCAUUUGAUUGAGAAAAUAUCGACUGGGCUGCAACCUGAAAUAGCUUAUGUGAAAAUUGAAUGCUGUAAUUUUUAAAAAUAAAAAUUUAAUUAGCCAA